rnacentral:lncRNA from 1 species
GCCCUGGCUCACUCUGCCCCUACACACGCACUCAUGGAUUCCGUGAUUGAUACUUGUCUCCCCUUUCAGACUGCGAGUCCAUAAGAGCAGGCGCAGGACCGUGCCGCCCGCUCAGACCUCACACAUCAUCCGAUCGCAGACAGCUACUCUGCCUUCGUUCUCUUCCCUCUCUGAGCCCCAGACAGCCUCCAGUGUGCGAAACUCGUCUGUGGUGGGUGUUAAAUCAAAAUUGGUGAUUCACUUUCAAACAACCAUCCUCUGUUCCUUCAGAGUAUUAACUCUGGUCAUAUGCCAGUCCACUCCUUCAAGGGCUACGUGAUUCAUACAGAAUCAAUGGAGAGAGGGAGGAAUGGAUACGCCUGCUACUCAGCCUAUGUUUAACCUUCUUUGAGGCUUGAGCUUCAAGUGCUUGUCAUGCUGCAGGGUUUUGGCCUCUGGAGGAGCCUCAGAGGGUGGGUCUGUCUAUCUAGUCAAGAGCUCAUGUCCAGAAUAAAAGUGAUUCUUUAUGGAGCAUUGGUAGAGGGGAGAGAGCAGCAAAACCAUGAACUUUGGAAGAAGACCACCUGCACCGACAGGCUGAUUCUAACACUCAUGAACCUUGUGAACUUAGGUAAUCUACUUAACCUAUCUCUGACUCCGUUUUCCCAUCUGUAAAAUGGGGACAACAAUAGCUUUUUACAUUCUAGGUUUGCUGGGAGCAUUAAAUAAAUUCUACAUGUUUUAUACCACAUUGAGAAGAGUUCCCAAUAGAUAGGACAUAACAUAAAUAUACUUUCUAUCAUUUUUAUGUAUUCAGGAGCUAGAACUUGCUGUGCCUUUGCAAGUGCCGGCCCUAUAACCACUUCCUGCUACGUUUCCUGCCACUUUUCUGUCAGUUCCAGCUUCUGCCUCCCUUCUGAUCUGAGUUGCUGAGUUACUGAGGUCUGAGCACGUCCUGCCCCUGAUCCUACUUGGAUUACAGCCGUGUUGUUUUUUUUCCUCUGUGUUUUUACAAAGGCUCAGUCUGCGCUGGUGGGAAUUAGUCCUCCUGUCUCAGUUGUGCCUUAGCUCAGUCCCAAGGAAAUGUGUUGCAGCAGGUUUAAUCUGACACACCAGCUGUUACUGAGAGCGGGAGAGUUUGAGGAAGGCGAUUCUCGCCAGCAGAAGGAGACCCAGUUCGGCUCCACCGUGCUGGGUGGAGCGGUAAGUCCAGAGGUCAGUGGGCCUGUCACCUCUCCCUGCCCCCGUGGGCUCCUUGCCUGGCGAGUAUUAAUGAAACUCUUCCUAAGGAUGGGUUGCCAGGGACAUUUCAAAACAGAACUGGUUAUUUAGGCUCACUAAUGGCAUCAGAGGGCUGAGACAUGACAGAUGAAAUGGCUAAGGAAGAGGACAUCGUCCAACAGGAAGGACAAAUGCCAAGUCCAGAGGUUUCAUUCAACACAGGCUCCACCGCUUACGGCUUCAGUGACCCUGGUCAAGCCUCUUCCCCUCCUUGGGCCUCCCCAUCUGUUACAGGAGAGAGUUCAUUCACUCCCUUGACAAACAUUUACCGGGCUCCUUCUGGGUCGUAGGCACCUCUGACCAGAUGGACUUUUGGGUGUUUUAUGCUGGAAUCAUUCUGUGAAGUGUAUCUCUGAAACCUCAAAUGUGGUGAAUUUGGGGACAGGAACACAAUAACUGUACUGUUUUAAUUUGUGUCAUUAAUUAGUGUAGCACAUAAUAUGCACUCUCAAAGUGUUUGAAGAUUUUUUAAAAAACCCAUCUGGUUUUCUCGUUUUCUCAAAGAUUUCCGUGCCAUUUUAUAGAUUUGGGUUUUUGUAUUUACUGUAUCUUUCCUUUCUGUCCACCUUGUGUUCAGGUUGCUCUUCUUUUUCUGACCCUUUUUUAAGGUAGAACACAAAUCACUUCUUUUUUUUUUUUUUUGGUCUAAGUAUAGAUGGUUGUGAUUUUUUUCCCCUAGCACUGCCUUAGCUGCUGCCUCAAAUUGAUAUGUGUUUUUUUCAUUAUGAUUAUCUGAGAUAUUUUAGUGUCUCUUGGAAUUUCUUCUCUAACCAAUGUAGCAGUCAUUUAAUUUCUAAAAAUCACUUGUGUAAGUUCUUUGUUACCUAAUAAUAGACUCUUCUCUCUGUAGCCAGGAGAGGGGUUCAAAUUGUUUGGUUUUUGGUGAAAGAUAAUCCACGUUUUAUGCUAUCUAUAACAACAAUGUUUUUUUUUUUUUUUACUCCAUACUUAAAUCUUAUUUCAUAUUGUUAAAAUAAUUCCCAGAGGUAGUCACUUCAGGUUUUGUCUUUUAGUUAUGCUUAUUUAAGAGGGUGCAAAGUAAACUUAGUAACACCCACUUUGGAUGUUUUAAAGUUUUCCUUUUUCUUACUUACUGGUUCUUUCUUAUCAAACGGAUAAGUCUGUUGGCAUAGUGAAUUCCAGUAAAUGAGGUAUUAUUCUGUCUUCCACUCACUCUAUAGAGUUAUCAACCAGCUAUAAUUUAAAAUCACAAAUACCACUAUUUUGGGGAAAAGGAUCAAUGCUUUAUGUUCUUCAGGAAACAAAAUAACAAUGUCCUUGCCCUUAAGUUGCUCAGAGUAGAGAUGGAAAGCCCCAUUAGGGUUAUGUGCAAAAUUAAAGAAAAAAAUCAAACUUUACAGAUGCAAAAAAAAAAAAAAAAAGAAAAGAAACCAAAAAAACCAACCAAACAACAAAAAAAACAAAAUAGAGGAAAUUUUGUGAAAAACCGAUGAUUGGGUAGAUAAUGUGGACAAUUCAAAGAAGAAACUAAAACUCAGUGUUGUCUGGGAGAACAUUUUACAGAAAGACUGUGUUAAGGGAAGAGUGUAUAACCUCAGGGUACUUAUUUUAGGCUCAACAGCUCUUGCUGCUCAAAUCCCAGGAUUGUGUUUCUCUGCAAAGGUUUGGGAGGCUCUGAUUCUCUGAAGCAUAAUAGACCAUGUUGUCUAAUUUGACAUCCUGCCUUUGUCCUGCUCAGUGCAUGACCCACCGUGGCUCUGAGAUCUUUUUAUCUGCAGAGAACCUCUUCUGCUUUCUGGAGUCCCAGUUGUCCACUUUCAUUAUCUCCUUACUUGUGAGUCUGUCCCAGGUGCUCCUGUGGCUAGUGAUGGGACGGGCUCAUAUCCUGAGUCCAAACGAGGCUACAGGACCAUAUGGAUUUCUAUGCACAAAAGAAAUAAAUGAGGCACGAUGGACUGGGAAGAGCGUCUCCAAAUACACCCGCAGAUUUAAUUGGGUUGUGCACAGCUCUUCGGGACUAAAAGUUGCAAAAGAGUUCUGUAUAUUAUUGCUUUGAGGUCAGAUCUGCUAGACCCUCAGCUAUCCUCCCAGGGAUGGGGAAUUAAAAGAAGAAAUAUCAAACACCAUGUCAUUCUGUAGUCCUGAGGAGGGAAGCAGUGUGUGCCUUGGCAGCACUCUGUCCUGGUUUGGAAAGCAGGGCUGAAAGGCGAAACGGACAGCUUUUACAAAACCCUGUUCACCCAGGUCUCGUGUUUAUCUGCAGACCUGAGCCAGCCUCCUGUCACUGGGUGUUGGAGUGUUGGCUGGGCAAGGGGAGUGUGUGUACCCUUCUACCUACCUACCACUUUAUGGGGAUUCAGGAACAGGAACCGGAACUUACAGUGGAUCUUAAAAGGUGGAUAGAGGAAAUGUCACUUCUAGAAAUAGUUUCUCCACCCCAAGUUUAAAUAACUAUUCACUUCCUAUUUUCUUUUGUUUAUUUUAUUAAAACAUUUAGUUUUCGGUGUAAAAUAAAGACACAAUCAUUCCUUGCAAUCCACUAGUCACUGGCAUUUAUUAAGGAUGCCAUCAAGCUGGUGGGACAUGCUAUUUUGUGUAGUGCUCUUGUGCUCUCUGAGAAUCCACCUGAACUUGCCACUCUCUGUCACUCUCAGUCCUACUCCACAGUUUUGAUACUUAGCUCAAUGCUUCUUCAGCUUGUCCCUAUUCACAUGCCGCCUGGAUAAUGCUUGGCUGCGAGGAUCCUCGUGUGCAUUGUGCGAGGUUGAACAACACCCUAGGGUACUGCCAGAUAGAACUCAGGGGCACGUGCCUUCCACUCCCAGCCCAGUUGUGACAAGCACAAACCUCUCAAGGACAUUGUCAACUACCCCUGGCAGACAAAAAUCACUUCCCAGUUGAGAACCAUUUUUUUUAAAUCUUACAUUGGAAUUUCUGUCUUAAAACAAGGCCCCUCUUUCCCCACCACACUUCUGAUUGGUACCUUAUAGUCUGACAUCCUGAUAGCAUGACAGGCCCCCUCUUGCUCUUCCCUUUCCUUCCCCCCAAAUCUCAGUUAUUCUCAUUUACUAUUCCACUUGCAUUUUAGAUUCAUUUAGCAAAUACAUUUAAAAUAUAUUAAAUUUAUAUAUUGAUUUAGGGUAAGAACUAUGUUUUAAAAUAUUAAUUAUCUUAUACAGUAAUGUUUCUAUUAAAUAAAAAGAGAAAUGUUUCCAUUCAUAUCAGUAUUCUCCUAUAUUCCAAGUUAACACAUAGAUUUAUGACUGGUUAUAACUUUAGCAUUAAAAUAUAUAUUAAGGGCUAUGGUUAUGGCUCAGUGGUAGAGCACUUGCCUUACAUGUGUGAGGCACUGGGUUCAAUUCUCAGCACUGCAUAUAAAUAAAUGAAUAAAAUAAAGGUCCAUCAACAGCUAAAAAAAAUUAAAAAAUAUUUUAAAUUUGACUCCUUGUUUAAUCCAAAUUAUUAACUCAUGGAUAGGCACAUAAAUUAUUAUUUACACUUUACAAAUGAGACUCAGAUGCUGAAUGAGGCUGUUGAUUUGGAUUUGAGGCCUCUUUCUGUGACCAUCUGCCUCAUUUGAGGAUCCAACAAUUGGAAAAUAAGUCAACAAGGAUAUUAAAAUAUAGUGUGAGGCUGCCUACAUUUAAAAGUAAAGUUGGAAACAAAUACAUUUCAUUUUUAAAUGCAAGGGGAGUCCCCUCCCUUGCUGCCCUCCCCUCCCCACCAUGGUUUUGAGUUUCUUAACUUUCAUGCUUUCCCUGUUGGGUCAGAAAUCUUAUAAAUUUCUUUCAUCAGAUUUCUGGAUCAAUUUUGCAAACUCAAAGGCUUGUGUACCUUGGAUGCUUUUGAGCAUAACCCCCUAAUUAGCAACGCUUGCGUGACAUUCUGAGACGUUGGUGUCUCAUUCAUUUUAAUGGGGUCUAGUAUUUUAUUUAGAGGAUCAGCAAUGUGUGAUAAAAAGGUGAAUUAUGUGGUCAUGACCCGAAACUCAUUAUGAUCAUAAAACAUUUGACUCUUCCCCUCCUCUUUCCCUCUCUCUACCUAGGUCCUGGAAAUGGGAGAAAGCUUUGGAACAUAAAAUCAUUGUGUUAUCAGAUCUUUUUGACAAAAGUUCUACCUUUAAACAAUAACCCUGCCUGAUUGGGAAGAGAAUAUUGGUUUCUUUUUCUUCUGUCUUAGGAUGUGGGACUUAGUUCAGUAAACAGCAGGACGUAAAAGAGGAGGUGACAGAAACAGGAAUGGUACCCGCUAAGGAGGCAGAGAAAGCUGGGGUGGGACUGGCUGGUGGGGAGAGAGGGAGGUCCAGACCAGGUGACAGAACACGGAAUCUGAGGACAACAGGCCGCAAGGAGGGACUGGCAGGUGUCUGGUAUUAGGUAGGACCUGAGUUUGGCUCAAAUUAACAGCAACGUGUUAAGAGGAAAUAAUUGAAAAUCCAAAGGGAGGACAGCACAGGGAAAAAUUGCCCAGAAAUAACCUGGUUUUGGUUUCUGAGUGAAGUUCAAGAAGAGAGAGGAAAAGAAGGUGGGACUAAGAAAAACCAACUCAGAGUGCUAGUUUUAUGGAAUUAGGAGAUUGAAAUAAGAGCCUACCGCAAGGAAAUGUCAGAGCUUAGUUAACAAAGGAAAGGGUGUGAGAUCCUGCCAGAUGGGGAGCAAACAUCCCUCUAUAUCUUGAUGCAUUAGGUGGGACCAGCUUCCAUCCCACUGCAGGCACCAGUCAGCUUAUCCAUUAUAUUGACAAAGCUGUUGGAGCACCUGCCGUGUUUGGAGUCGGUGAUGGAAAUUCAGUAGAGAAAAUUCAAAAGAGAAAAGUGUCCUGCUGCCAUGUUGUUCAUAUUCUAAGAGAGAGAGAGAGAGAGAGAGAGAGCGCACCAACAUAACGAAUAGGUAGUAUUAAAUAAAUAAGAUGUACUGUAUGCUAGAAAGCUAUUAGUAAUACAAAAAUGGUAUGCAGUAAAAUGAAUUCAGUGUUCCAGGUGUCAAAUCAAAAUAAAUACAGACUUAGAUAAAGGGGAACUUGAUUUUAAAAGACAAUUGCAAUAAGAAGGGUGCUUUGAUCUCAGAAAUCUGAAGCAUCUCAAAAUCAAACAGGAAAGGGGUUAUUGUUCAUAGAGAAG